AUACGGAGGGUGCAAGCGUUAUCCGGAAUCAUUGGGUUUAAAGGGUCCGCAGGCGGAUUAAUAAGUCAGUGGUGAAAUCCUCUCGCUCAACGAGAGAACUGCCAUUGAAACUGUUAGUCUUGAAUUCGGUCGAAGUAGGCGGAAUGUGUCAUGUAGCGGUGAAAUGCAUAGAUAUGACACAGAACACCGAUAGCGAAGGCAGCUUACUAGACCUGGAUUGACGCUCAUGGACGAAAGCGUGCGGAGCGAACAGGAUUAGAAACCCUAGUAGUCC
rnacentral:rRNA from 1 species